GACGAACGCUGGCGGCGUGCUUAACACAUGCAAGUCGAACGGAAAGGCCCUGCUUGCAGGGUACUCGAGUGGCGAACGGGUGAGUAACACGUGUGUGAUCUGCCCUGCACUUCUGGAUAAGCCUGGGAAACUGGGUCUAAUACCGGAUAGUAGCCAAUUUUAGUGUGAUGGUUGGAAAGUUUUUUCGGUGUAGGAUGAGCUCGCGGCCUAUCAGCUUGUUGGUGGGGUAAUGGCCUACCAAGGCGGCGACGGGUAGCCGGCCUGAGAGGGUGGACGGCCACAUUGGGGCCGAGAGACGGCCCAGACUCCUAAGGGGGGCCGCAGUGGGGAAUAUUGCAAAAUGGGGGCAAACCUGAUGGAGCGACGCCGGGUGGGGGAUGACGGCCUUCGGGUUGUAAACUCCUUUCGCUAAGGACGAAGCUUUUUGUGACGGUACCUAGAGAAGAAGCACCGGCUAACUACGUG
rnacentral:rRNA from 1 species